CUAUUAGCUUGUAGGUGAGGUAACGGCUCACCUAAGCUCCGAUAGGUAGGGGUCCUGAGAGGGAGAUCCCCCACACUGGUACUGAGACACGGACCAGACUUCUACGGAAGGCAGCAGUAAGGAAUAUUGCGCAAUGGGCGAAAGCCUGACGGAGCAACGCCGCGUGAGGGAUGAAGGCCUCUGGGCUGUAAACCUCUUUUAUCAAGGAAGAAGAUCUGACGGUACUUGAUGAAUAAGCCACGGCUAAUUCCGUGCCAGCAGCCGCGGUAAUACGGGAGUGGCAAGCGUUAUCCGGAAUUAUUGGGCGUAAAGCGUCCGCAGGCGGCCCUUCAAGUCUGCUGUUAAAAAGUGGAGCUUAACUCCAUCAUGGCAGUGGAAACUGAAAGGCUUGAGUAUGGUAGGGGCAGAGGGAAUUCCCGGUGUAGCGGUGAAAUUCGUAGAUAUUAGAAAGAAUACCAAUUGCGAAGGCAGCUUUCUGGAUCAUUACUGACGCUGAGGAACGAAAGCAUGGGUAGCGAAGAGGAUUAGAUACC
rnacentral:rRNA from 1 species